rnacentral:rRNA from 1 species
UACGUAGGGGGCAAGCGUUAUCCGGAUUUACUGGGUGUAAAGGGAGCGUAGACGGCACGGCAAGCCAGAUGUGAAAGCCCGGGGCUCAACCUCGGGACUGCAUUUGGAACUGCUGAGCUAGAGUGUCGGAGAGGCAAGUGGAAUUCCUAGUGUAGCGGUGAAAUGCGUAGAUAUUAGGAGGAACACCAGUGGCGAAGGCGGCUUGCUGGACGAUGACUGACGUUGAGGCUCGAAAGCGUGGGGAGCAAACAGG